UAUGAACGCUGGCGGCGUGCCUAAUACAUGCAAGUCGAACGAGGUGCUUUUGUAGCAAUACGAGAGUAUCCUAGUGGCGAACGGGUGAGUAACGCGUUGGUGACCUACCCCAAAGUGUGGGAUAACAGUCCGAAAGGAUUGCUAAUACCGCAUGUGGUCAUUGGAUUUAGAAACUGAUGACUAAAGGAGCAAUUCGCUUUGGGAGGGACCUGCGUCCCAUCAGCUAGUUGGUGAGGUAAUGGCUCACCAAGGCGACGACGGGUAGGGGACCUGAGAGGGUGGCCCCCCACAAUGGAACUGAAACACGGUCCAUACACCUACGGGUGGCAGCAGUAGGGAAUAUUGCUCAAUGGGCGAAAGCCUGAAGCAGCAACGCCGCGUGCGCGAUGAAGGUCUUCGGAUCGUAAAGCGCUUUUCUGCGAGAUGAGAAAGGACAGUAUCGUAGGAAUAAGUCUCGGCUAACUACGUGCCAGCAGCCGCGGUAACACGUAGGAGGCGAGCGUUAUCCGGAUUCACUGGGCGUAAAGCGCGUGCAGGCGGUUUGGUAAGUUGGGCGUGAAAGCUCCCGGCUCAACUGGGAGAGGUCGUUCAAUACUACCAAACUAGAGAGUAGAAGAGGAAGAUGGAAUUCCCGGUGUAGUGGUGAAAUGCGUAGAUAUCGGGAGGAACACCAGUGGCGAAGGCGAUCUACCAGUGGCGAAGGCGAUCUUCUGGUCUAUUUCUGACGCUCAGACGCGACAGCUAGGGUAGUAAACGGGAUUAGAGACCCCGGGUAAUCCUAGCCGUAAACGAUGUGAACUUGGCGUCGUGCUAACACAUCGGUGCGAGCAACGCGAUAGUCACGCUGGGGACUACGCGCAAGUUAACUGAUGACGACGAGCCGCACAGCAACGGAACGGUGUGUGG
rnacentral:rRNA from 1 species